GGGGCCUCAGGAAUUUUCCUAUUUCUUCCAUUUGGCAAUAAAUACUGCAUGAAGGAAGCCCCAGAGAGACACAGAGAGCCGACUGCUGGCAGGGGUCGGG